GAUGAAGAACGUAGCGAAAUGCGAUAAGUAGUGUGAAUUGCAGAAUUCAGUGAAUCAUCGAAUCUUUGAACGCACAUUGCGCCUUCUAGUAUUCUGGGAGGCAUGCCUGUUUGAGCGUCAUUAAACCUCUCUCAAGUAUGAUUACUUGGAUGUGAAGGAAGAGUACCUUAAACUUAAGGAGUCUUCUCCUUUGAAAUUGAUUAGCAGAUGGUAAUGUUAUUAAAUCCCUGAUGUUGUAAGAAAUAACAGUGGUUUUGUAGACUAUUAUCUAGCUUUAAAUUAUAAUUUUUAUUAUGGUUGACCUCAAAUCAGGUAAGGAUACCCGCUGAACUUAAGCAUAUCAAUAAGCGGAGGA
rnacentral:misc_RNA from 1 species